UGGGGAAUAUUGCACAAUGGGCGAAGCCUGAUGCAGCGACGCCGCGUGGAGGGAAGACGGUCUUCGGAUUGUAAACCUCUGUCUUUGGGGAAGAAGAAGGACGGUACCCAAAGAGGAAGCUCCGGCUAACUACGUGCCAGCAGCCGCGGUAAUACGUAGGGAGCGAGCGUUGUCCGGAAUUACUGGGUGUAAAGGGAGCGUAGGCGGGCUUGCAAGUUGAAUGUCUAAUCCACCGGCUCAACCCGGUGUCCGCGUUCAAAAACUGCAGGUCUUGAGUGAAGUAGAGGCAGGCGGAAUUCCUAGUGUAGCGGUGAAAUGCGUAGAUAUUAGGAGGAACACCAGUGGCGAAGGCGGCCUGCUGGGCUUUAACUGACGCUGAGGCUCGAAAAGCGUGGGGAGCAAACAGGAUUAGAUACCC
rnacentral:rRNA from 1 species